UAAACAAAGAUCUAUUAACUGCUAGGAGUCUGUAGGUUUAUCACACCUUGUUCAGAAGUUGUCUUUCUCUAAAUUAUCUUCCCCACUCUGAACAAAGUUGCUGUUUAGUUAUUUUAUAGAUAUUGUGUGUGUUGUCCUCAUAUUGAAUAUUGAGGGGAUUUUUUUCACUGUUGUGUGUUUGUGAGAAGCGGCACAUGUUUGUGUGUACUCGUUAUAGAGAAACAGUUACUUUAAUUAGAAUUUCUGGGAAAAAAUACAUUUCAUUCAUAGUUUUUGAAAGUCAAAUUAGCUUUCAGUUAAUUACAACAGAUUUUUUUCUUGCAAUUUUUCUUUGUUGAAUUGACAAAGGGUAAAUUGUGAAUAUUUAAUGGGACAUAUUACC